rnacentral:rRNA from 1 species
AUACGGAGGGUGCAAGCGUUAUUCGGAAUCACUGGGCGUAAAGGGUGCGUAGGCGGUUUGAUAAGUCUGAUGUGAAAUCCUAUGGCUCAACCAUAGAACUGCAUUGGAAACUGUCAGACUAGAAUACUGAAGGGGCAGAUGGAAUUAGUGGUGUAGGGGUAAAAUCCGUAGAUAUCACUAGGAAUACCGAAAGCGAAAGCGAUCUGCUGGGAAGUUAUUGACGCUGAGGCACGAAAGCGUGGGGAGCAAACGGAAUUAGAAACCCCAGUAGUCC